CCUACGGGGGGCAGCAGUGAGGAAUAUUGGUCAAUGGACGAGAGUCUGAACCAGCGAAGUCGCGUGAAGGAUGACUGCCCUCUGGGUUGUAAACUUCUUCUAUAUGGGAAUAAAACAGGGUAUGCAUACCCUCUUGUACGUACCACAUGAAUAAGGAUCGGCUAACUACGGGCCAGCAGCCGCGGUAAUACGGAGGAUCCGAGCGUUAUCCGGAUUUAUUGGGUUUAAAGGGAGCGUAGGUGGAAUGUUAAGUCAGUUGUGAAAGUUUGCGGCUCAACCGUAAAAUUGCAGUUGAAACUGGCAGUCUUGAGUGCAGGAGAGGUAGGCGGAAUUCGUGGUGUAGCGGUGAAAUGCUUAGAUAUCACGAAGAACACCGGUUGCGAAGGCAGCUCGCUGGACUGCAACUGACACUGAUGCUCGAAAGUGUGGGUAGCAAACAGGAUUAGAUACCCUGGUAGUC
rnacentral:rRNA from 1 species